ACCCCGCCCUCUUCGUCUCCAGGGAGCCAAUGAAAAGUUCCUCAAGGCCAGAGAGUCUAAGCCCCGCCCCCUCGCCUAACCCGCGAAUAGUCAGCUCCGACUCUUUACUUCACGCCCAGUCGACGCCCCUCCUCCCUACGCGUCCAUAGCAACUGCCAGAGCUCAAGGGGGAAUAGCAACUGUUCCUGGCCACGUGACCGGACGAUGCCCAUCCACCCCCCUCUCUGUUUUAUCCUCCCGAACUAGAUGGGAGGGACCUCCAGCCUCGAUGGGCGGAGCCUUUGCUUGAAAUAUAAUUCGUCACUUGGCAGCGACGACGUUGGAGGCCAGCAGCUGACAUGCUUUUAAAAAGUUGGUUGGGUGAGCAGCUUAAUGAUGGAAGCUUGCGCUCAUGGAGAUCAUGGUACUGCUUCUGUUAUUCCUGUUAUUGUCUCCCUUUUUUGCUGCAAAUGUUCAUCUGCAGUCUUCCUUGAGUGUUGUAGACCUCACUGGGCAGGUGGUAUCAGCAGCUCCUGGUUUUUGGAACACCUGUGGAGGAAGCUGUUGGAGGCACUGGCUGGCAGAACAGUGGUGCAGUGGUGCUCUUCCCUGCCAUCGUAUUGCUGGAGUUGCUUCACCAGACCUGCUUGCAGUGGCCCCAGGAAUAGCCCCCACUCCCUGGAAACAUGUUGCUGAAUAGUAGGCUCAGAUACCACAAGAUGUUAGGGCCAAACUAGAUGUGCAUGCCAACAUGUGCUAUAGGGGCAUGCUUCCAAGCAGAAGCACCUCUUUUUUGUUAUAAUCAGCUGGAAAGGGUAUGUGCGUGUGUGGAGAAGGAGAUUCACUCCUGCCCUGUGCACUGUUUUCUGCCCAGGGUCACCACUAGUGAUUGAGGAAAUUACCACUUUAGGGGAUGAUUUUUGGUAGGAUAACAGUGUGCAGUGAAAGAGUGAACCACAUUGUACAUCUUGGAUCCAGCUGGGGUUGCCAUGCAGUGCCCUCCUUUACCCACAACAGCUUGGUUGCUUUUGACAAGUUGGUAGCAUGCCAACCUUCCAGUUGGUAACAUGCCUCUACAGCAUGUGUUUGCACACCUGUCCUUAGUGUUUAAAAAGGGCAGGAGCUUCUCCUCAUCUGCAAAGAUGGUAUCAAUGGGUUCUAGUUCUUAGAAUUCUCAGUGGAAGAGAAUUACCAAGCUAAAAUAGGAGCAAGCUUGAUACUUAGUGACUCCUGUAAGUUAUACUGGGGACAGUGUCGCUGAAAUUGUGGAAGUGGAAACAUGCAAAUAGGUAAGCGUAACAUGGGGAUACUUUGAAGGAAAUCUCCCACUCCCACCUGCAGACAUUGAUUUCACCAUAUUAGGGCUAAAGUUUGAUACAUUUGCACAGAAGGCAGGACUUCAAUCCAUGCUUUUGCCUGUAUAAAGAUACUCUUGCUGUGGUUUGCUUUAUACAACUUGCACUGGUGACUUGUUGCCAUGUGUCAACACCCAGGCCUAAUGAAACAAAGGAAACACACAUGCUGCAGUCCAGAAUAAUGCAGCACAGGUGCUCACACAGGGUGAUUUUUUACCAAUCUCCUCUCCCCUCUGAACAUCUCUGUACCACCUGAAAAUAUGCCCCUGUGGGUUACACAGCCCUUGGGGACAUAUUUUUAGGUAGCACAGAGUGCUUCAGAGGGAAGGGGAGAUCAAUGAACACCCCCCCCCUCCACACGCAUGAGUACCUGUGCUGCUUUUGUCUGGAAAGCAGCCCACUGCACGUGUGCUGUAUUCUGGUUUUCAACCAUUGAUUUGUUGCUUUUACUGUUUUGAAAGUUUCUCUCUUUUUAAUUUCAAUUACACAUUUAUUUACAUUGCAUCUAUAAUUAAAAGUCAGUUGCCCUUUGUACAAUUCAGCUAUUGAUUUAUGUUACUGUUUGGUCUUGAAUUAAGGGAACUACACAUUUCAAGGCAAACUCAUAGUUUCCAGUGCCAGGUUGUUAGGGCCACUCACUUGCCAGAGAGAACUGCAUACUCACCAACAUUUCAGCAAUAGAAAUACAGACAUGCUUGUAACACCUCUAGUAGUAAACCAAGAAUCACUUCAUGAGCCACGCCUCCUCCACUGUUACACAUUGGGCAGAAUCCUGACUAGUAUUCCUAGGAGUGGAAUAUGUUCCACUCAUUCAAGGGGAGAAGUGUGAUUCUCAUUUAUUCUCCCUUCCCUCUGCUGCCUUUUGGACACCCUCCAAAAAUCUAUUCUUGAGGAUUCCCCAAUCCUCAGGGACCUAUUUUCAGGAUAUAGUAGAGGGAAGGGGGUAGUAGGUGAAAAUCACCCCUCUUGUGAGCAAGACAUCUUCAGUUAACACAGGGGUUCUUAACCUGUGGUACUUUAGAUAUUGCUGAACUACAACUCCCAGCAUAUCCAGCCACAAUAAAUGGUAGAUGGGGAUGAUGGGAAUUAUAGUUCAGCAACAUCUCGAGUACCACAGGUUGGAAACACCUGUGUUAAUGGAACUACUAGUCAGCAUUCUUUCCAUCACUGAAGGCUCUUAACUGCCUGUUUUAUUAUGCAUUAUCUAUAGUAGCUUGUUGUCAGCUGACUGAGGGAGAUUGUUCUUUUGGUAAAUAUAAAUUAGAAUAGCAUAAUUAUCCUAAAAUAAGUUAUCAACAAAUUCAGUACAUAUGUCACACAAAAACUGAAGUUUGUGACAUGUCAGGCUUUGUGUUGCUUGGUGCCUUAGUGUUCAUGCAUGUGUAUUUUUUUUUCAUGUGUGGCUCACACAAACAACAUUGAAACAAGGCAUCCCCCAAAAUGCAAAAAUAAGGCCAAAGUAGGGGCAGUGAUUUUACCAAAGACCAGUAUCAGAAAAUAGGACUGGCCCUGGUAAAUAGAGACAAUUGAAGGGUAUGAAAUGGGUGUGUGGGGGGGCAGGGGGAGCAUGCUGCUUCAUCUUUCCCGACCACUGAUUUUCCUCUACAAAUCCCCCCUGCAUGUCAUAUUUAGUUGUUUUCCUCCCCGCUGGCCUCUGAGUCUAGAAAAAAGCGGAGGUGGGAGAAUAUCUGUUUUCAGAACCUCUGCUAACUGGGCAAAAAGACCCUUAUCAGUGUGGUGAUCCUUUUUAUAUUAAGUAAGUGGAGAACAACUGGCCCAGUUCAACCCCAGCAUAGCAUCCCUCCAGUGGCUGAUGCUGGUGUCUCCCUUGUGAUUCCUGUUAGUCUUUGAGCCCUUUGGGGACCAGGAACCUCCUUAUUUUUAUUAUUUGUGAAUCACUUUGAAAAAUUUUUUUGUUAAAAAGUGGUAUAGUAGUAGUAGUAGUAGUAGUAGUAGUAGUAGUGUAUUCACAGCAGGAAAUGGAUAGACAAAAUAAGAGUUAAGUAAUCUGCACUUGCCUGCCAAUUCUUCCCUACAAAUCUUCUCCUAUUUUUGUAUGAUUUCAGCCAGCUAAUGCAAAUUUGGGAACAUGUUUUUGCCACAGUAAACAGUUCUCUCCUGCAUUGUUCACAUCACAUGAAACAGUAAUUUAAUCAAGUUCCAAAAUAAAAUGCAAUUUCUCAUAUUCACCUAGUAGUUUGUCAGUUAAAACACAUGAUUGAAACAGCUGCAAAUUAGCCAUUACCAACAGAUGGUUUUUGUUUUUAGUUAAAUACUAUAAUCCUGUACAGCAGGAACUCAACUCAGGAUUUUUUCCUCUGUGCCGCCUGCCUCAUUUGAAUACUGUGGUCCAGCUCUUCACUGUCAACAUAAUGAAGAUAAUGCUUAAAUUAGUAUCAGUACUUAAGCCUUUUAAUUAUUCUUACUUAAUAUUAAACACACAAACACAUGGCAUUCACCUAUUAACAGAUCAGAAGUAUCAUUCACAAUGACAACCAAAGGAUCACAUAUACAUGGCUAAGAAGCUGAAAUAAUACUAAAUGUCUGCCAUAUGUUCUUUCUUUAGCAGGGUAGAAAUUAGGAUAGCCCAUCUGCUAAAUUAUUUUGCUUCCACUGAGACAAACAUAAUGCUGUAAUUUGGUUAACAUCUUUUUUGUGUGCACUAGCAUAUCCUGGAUGCAUUUUACAAUAAAAAAAGAAAGUAUCAGCACUAGCUCACUGAACUCAGGUAUAACAAAACGUUUCUCAAGUUAUGUUUCAAGCACAGAAAUUCUUAUACAAAUAAAUGUCAGCAUUUGCAGGAUGGUCA